rnacentral:rRNA from 2 species
UAAAAAAAGGUAAGCUACUAAGAGCGAAUGGUGGAUGCCUUGACUGGUAAAGGCGAUGAAGGACGUACUAGACUGCGAUAAGCUACGGGGAGCUGUCAAGAAGCUUUGAUCCGUAGAUUUCCGAAUGGGGCAACCCAAUGUAUAGAGAUAUACAUUACCUAUAUAGGAGCGAACGAGGGGAAUUGAAACAUCUUAGUACCCUCAGGAAAAGAAAUCAAUAGAGAUUGCGUCAGUAGCGGCGAGCGAAAGCGCAAGAGGGCAAACCCAGUGCUUGCACUGGGGGUUGUAGGACUGCAAUGUGCAAGAGCUGAGUUUAGCAGAACAUUCUGGAAAGUAUAGCCAUAGAGGGUGAUAGUCCCGUAUGCGAAAAACAAAGCUUAGCUAGCAGUAUCCUGAGUAGGGCGGGACACGAGGAAUCCUGUCUGAAUCCGGGUCGACCACGAUCCAACCCUAAAUACUAAUACCAGAUCGAUAGUGCACAAGUACCGUGAGGGAAAGGUGAAAAGAACUGAGGUGAUCAGAGUGAAAUAGAACCUGAAACCAUUUGCUUACAAUCAUUCAGAGCACUAUGUAGCAAUACAGUGUGAUGGACUGCCUUUUGCAUAAUGAGCCUGCGAGUUGUGGUGUCUGGCAAGGUUAAGCAAACGCGAAGCCGUAGCGAAAGCGAGUCUGAAUAGGGCGCUUAGUCAGAUGCUGCAGACCCGAAACGAAGUGAUCUAUCCAUGAGCAAGUUGAAGCUAGUGUAAGAACUAGUGGAGGACUGAACCCAUAGGCGUUGAAAAGCCCCGGGAUGACUUGUGGAUAGGGGUGAAAGGCCAAUCAAACUUCGUGAUAGCUGGUUCUCUCCGAAAUAUAUUUAGGUAUAGCGUUGUGUCGUAAUAUAAGGGGGUAGAGCACUGAAUGGGCUAGGGCAUACACCAAUGUACCAAACCCUAUCAAACUCCGAAUACCUUAUAUGUAAUCACAGCAGUCAGGCGGCGAGUGAUAAAAUCCGUCGUCAAGAGGGAAACAACCCAGACUACCAGCUAAGGUCCCUAAAUCUUACUUAAGUGGAAAACGAUGUGAAGUUACUUAAACAACCAGGAGGUUGGCUUAGAAGCAGCCAUCCUUUAAAGAAAGCGUAAUAGCUCACUGGUCUAGUGAUUUUGCGCGGAAAAUAUAACGGGGCUAAAGUAAGUACCGAAGCUGUAGACUUGCACACAACUUAGAUUAUUUAAGUUUAGAAUAUGAGAAACUAAGUUAUAUGUUUAGUUAUAUUUUUACUGAUUUUUAUAGAGUAAAGAUAGAAAUAAAACUUAGUAAAAUCAGUAAAAAUAUUCUUAGGCUAAAGUUAAGUAGUUUAAGUUGUGUGCAAGUGGUAGGAGAGCGUUCUAUUUGCGUCGAAGGUAUACCGGUAAGGAGUGCUGGAGCGAAUAGAAGUGAGCAUGCAGGCAUGAGUAGCGAUAAUUAAUGUGAGAAUCAUUAACGCCGUAAACCCAAGGUUUCCUACGCGAUGCUCGUCAUCGUAGGGUUAGUCGGGUCCUAAGUCGAGUCCGAAAGGGGUAGACGAUGGCAAAUUGGUUAAUAUUCCAAUACCAACAUUAGUGUGCGAUGGAAGGACGCUUAGGGCUAAGGGGGCUAGCGGAUGGAAGUGCUAGUCUAAGGUUGUAGGAGGUUAUACAGGCAAAUCCGUAUAACAAUACUCCGAGAACUGAAAGGCUUUUUGAAGUCUUCGGAUGGAAAGAAGAACCCCUGAUGCCGUCGAGCCAAGAAAAGUUUCUAAGUUUAGCUAAUGUUGCCCGUACCGUAAACCGACACAGGUGGGUGGGAUGAGUAUUCUAAGGCGCGUGGAAGAACUCUCUUUAAGGAACUCUGCAAAAUAGCACCGUAUCUUCGGUAUAAGGUGUGCCUCCCUUUGUAUUAGGAUUUACUCCGAAAGCAAAGAAGGUUACAACAAAGAGUCCCUCCCGACUGUUUACCAAAAACACAGCACUCUGCUAACUCGUAAGAGGAUGUAUAGGGUGUGACGCCUGCCCGGUGCUCGAAGGUUAAUUGAUGGGGUUAGCAUUAGCGAAGCUCUUGAUCGAAGCCCGAGUAAACGGCGGCCGUAACUAUAACGGUCCUAAGGUAGCGAAAUUCCUUGUCGGUUAAAUACCGACCUGCAUGAAUGGCGUAACGAGAUGGGAGCUGUCUCAAAGAGGGAUCCAGUGAAAUUGUAGUGGAGGUGAAAAUUCCUCCUACCCGCGGCAAGACGGAGAGACCCCGUGGACCUUUACUACAGCUUGACACUGCUAUUUGGAUAAGAAUGUGCAGGAUAGGUGGGAGGCUUUGAGUAUAUGACGCCAGUUGUAUAUGAGCCAUUGUUGAGAUACCACUCUUUCUUAUUUGGGUAGCUAACCAGCUUGAGUUAUCCUCAAGUGGGACAAUGUCUGGUGGGUAGUUUGACUGGGGCGGUCGCCUCCCAAAUAAUAACGGAGGCUUACAAAGGUUGGCUCAUAGCGGUUGGAAAUCGCUAGUAGAGUAUAAAGGUAUAAGCCAGCUUAACUGCAAGACAUACAAGUCAAGCAGAGACGAAAGUCGGUCUUAGUGAUCCGGUGGUUCUGUGUGGAAGGGCCAUCGCUCAAAGGAUAAAAGGUACCCCGGGGAUAACAGGCUGAUCUCCCCCAAGAGCUCACAUCGACGGGGAGGUUUGGCACCUCGAUGUCGGCUCAUCGCAUCCUGGGGCUGGAGCAGGUCCCAAGGGUAUGGCUGUUCGCCAUUUAAAGCGGUACGCGAGCUGGGUUCAGAACGUCGUGAGACAGUUCGGUCCCUAUCUGCCGUGGGCGUAAGAAGAUUGAAGAGAUUUGACCCUAGUACGAGAGGACCGGGUUGAACAAACCACUGGUGUAGCUGUUGUUCUGCCAAGAGCAUCGCAGCGUAGCUAAGUUUGGAAAGGAUAAACGCUGAAAGCAUCUAAGCGUGAAGCCAACUCUAAGAUGAAUCUUCUCUAAGCUCUCUAGAAGACUACUAGUUUGAUAGGCUGGGUGUGUAAUGGAUGAAAGUCCUUUAGCUGACCAGUACUAAUAGAGCGUUUGGCUUAUCUUUAAUAAAGCAU